CAGGGUGGGUACAGCCAGGGCUCUGCACCAAGCGCUGGAUUUGGAGGGAGUGCUGGCUGAGGUGGGAACUCAUGCAAGGGCUGCAGAGCAAGGGCUGCAGGUGGUGAAACAGAGACUUCACGGUCUGGAGGCCAGUGUACAGGAGGUGAUCCGCGCCCCGCCCCCAUGCCCUUCAGCUCCCUCACACCUCUUGUUCAGAGGCUGCUAUCUCUAUUCUUCCCCUGAGAUCCUUGACCUAUUCUGACAACACAGUGCUAAAUACCCUGCCGUGCUGUGAUCUCUUUGUGAUCCCCUGAUCUCCACCCCAGGUGGCCAGCCACCUGGCCCAGGUUGCACUGGCAGGGGAUGUGACCCCAGUACUGGGACAUCUGUCCAGUGGACCUGUGGCUCUCAGGACCCGUUUGGCCCUGACUCAGCGGCAGGCCCGGGAGGCAGAAGAGCAAGCCACGCAUGCCCUGGGCAUGGCCAGGAGCCUGGGCCAGGAGCUGCAGGUGGCCCAGCUUGGUAUGAUGGAGUUGCAGGAGGGCACGGACAGCCUUGUGGCCGCGGUGCAGGAUGCAGGAGAGCGGGCACACCGGGCGCACGCUGAGGCCCGAGAGCUGCUAACACUGGUACAGAACAGCUGGAGAAGACUGGAGGGGUUGGAACGCCGCCUGGUUCAGAAUGAGGAGGCACUGGGCAAGAAAGUGGCCACGCUGUGGGCUCUCGAGCAGCGGGCAGCAGAGCUACUGGGCCACAUGCGGCUGUGGGCCAGGGCAUACGGCACCUGCUGACUUCGGUCUGACUCCAAGUGACCCCACAGUGACCCAGGAAUCCCCUGACCUUGAGAGCCCAGAGACACCAGAGUGCCUGCUGACCCUGAGUGAUCCAUGUGACAGCCUGUCAUUUAGUGGUCCGCUGAUCUUGACAAAUAGGAGGGGUCACGGACAACUCCCUGAGGCCAUCUAGUGCUCCCCGAGAUCCUGAUAGAGCCUUAUCUCUGAGUGAUCCAUAAUUCUGAGCGCCCUCUAGUAUCCCUGAGCCCCUUAGAUUGACCACGUGACCCCCCUGGUGUCUGGUGACCCCACUCCAGAUAACUGGUGAACCUUGAUGUUUCCCCUAAAGAACCCCAGCUUUUUUCCCUGGGCCUGCCACUCCAGGGUACUCUCCACCUGACUCAAGACAGUAGGCGCAGAUGUAGCAAGCUCAAAGUUGUCCCGACAGGGCCCUAUGGACCCCGGAGUCUGGUCCCCGCCGAGGUCCCAGGGGCCUGGGUGGGGCACACGCUCCCGCAGCCCGCAUUCCAAGCCCGGAUCUGGGCGCUCCCGGCG
rnacentral:lncRNA from 1 species